UUUGGUGCACUCUUGUUGAGAUUAAAAUACAAAUUAAAAUGUACAAAAAAAAUAAACAAAUAUUACUAAGCAAAAGGAUUUGUUCAAUGUAAAUAUUCUUAUUUGAAUAUUUUUUAUAAGCUUUAUUUUAACGGUUAUUUUCAUUCAAACUCAUUCAUGAAUUUUCAUUAUCAUUUAAUCCUUCAUUUAAUUUAAUUAAACAUUUUAUUUGAUGUUAUAAAAUUUAUGUUUCAAGCAAGAGAAGUCAAACAUGUUGUUGAUUAUUUUUUUUCUAACGUUAAUGGUUGAUUCAUAUUUAGAAACAACGGAAAUGGAACAUGUGUAUGGUACCAUUGCAAUUUUUUUAAAGAUAAUAAGAUCGUACGAAAUGAAUAAGCAAGUGAAACUGAUGUAAAAUGGAUGGACUAUAUAUAGGGAAAAAGGCUAGCAGAUUAUUGAACAUUAAACAUAGUAUUAAAAACGCAAAUCAUCCAUAUAUCAUGGUGAAGGAAUUGAACGAAUUAUUUUUUAGAGGAAAAAGAAAUUAAAGGUAAGUCAUGAUCACCAUUAAGGAAUUGAAGGUAAAUGUGUUAUGAAUUAUCUUUGACCAUGCAUAUUAUGUAAUCAAUUAAAAUCAAUGCAUUUCUUCAAAAAAAAAAAACUAAAAUCAAUGCAUAUCAUUUUGAUUCAAAACAAAAUUCCUGCAGUGAUAAUAUAUGAUUAAAUGGACAUUUCUUAACCAAAUUUCUUGCAUGUUCAAUUUUUUUUUGAAGGAAUAGUGGCAUGAUUUUUUUUUUUUGAAGUAGGGAAUAGUGACAUAAUUUUUUUAUCACAUAAAUACCCUCAAUCAAUAUAUAAAAAUGAGUUAGGAUUAAAUGACAUUAAAAUGUCAAAGUUAAUUUCAUGCCAAAUUUUAGCCAUUGAUUGAUUUUAAUCAAAUGAUGAUAUUGAUUAAGUUAAGGUGGUCACGUGAUGACCAUGUUGCCGUCAAGUCUAAGUUUUGGUCCUCUUUCUCUCAUUUGCUCCCAUCUCCAUGAGUUAGUGUGUUUUCGAUUUGACCUCCCAUCUCCUCAGUUAUAUAAAAAAAAUGAAGGUUAUAGAUUUGCUACUUGCUUAGUUUUUUAGGUACUAUGUUCAAGCAUACAUAUAUUGAUAGACGAAACAUGGAUUCCUCAAGUUCAAGGCGUGAUGUUUGGAAAAAGGCAAAAACAUUAUGUUAUACAUGACCUUGAUCAUAGCUCUAUAACAACAAAAUAUCAAUAAUCAAUAAAAUUGAUAAACAUCAUUUCCAAAAACAAAUACUACAUAAAAAUAAAUACUUCAUAUAUAUUCUAAUUGAUAUGUGAUGCAUUUCUUCUUUUCUCUUGAUAGACUUCCAAGUCCAAAAUAAGAAUCCGGUCAAAGACAAAGAACAUAUAAACACCAAUUUUGAAUGAGAAAACAACAAUAUAAGAAAUCACAAUAUUCUUCACACACACAAAAUCACAAUAAAAAGUAAUAUAAGAAUAAAAAAUGUUAAUCAAAACAGUAAAACAAUAAAAAAUAGAAAAUAAACAAAUAAAAGAAAAGAUAAUGUGGUUGAAAGUGGUU
rnacentral:lncRNA from 1 species